rnacentral:rRNA from 1 species
GUUGACCUCGGAUCAGGUAGGAAUACCCGCUGAACUUAAGCAUAUCAAUAAGCGGAGGAAAAGAAACCAACAGGGAUUCCCCUAGUAACGGCGAGUGAAGCGGGAACAGCUCAAAUUUGAAAUCUGGCCCUUGGGUCCGAGUUGUAAUUUGCAGAGGAUGCUUUUGGUGCGGUGCCUUCCGAGUUCCCUGGAACGGGACGCCUUAGAGGGUGAGAGCCCCGUACGGUUGGCCACCAAGCCUUUGUAAAGCUCCUUCGACGAGUCGAGUAGUUUGGGAAUGCUGCUCAAAAUGGGAGGUAUAUUUCUUCUAAAGCUAAAUACUGGCCAGAGACCGAUAGCGCACAAGUAGAGUGAUCGAAAGAUGAAAAGCACUUUGAAAAGAGGGUUAAAUAGCACGUGAAAUUGUUGAAAGGGAAGGAUUUAUGACCAGACUUUUUCUAGGGGGAUCAUCCGGUGUUCUCACCGGUGCACUUCCCCUAGUUGAGGCCAGCAUCGGUUUCUGCCGGGGGAUAAAAGCUUCGGGAAUGUGGCUCCUUCGGGAGUGUUAUAGCCCGUUGCAUAAUACCCUGGCGGGGACCGAGGUUCGCGCAUCUGCAAGGA